GCUUUUAAAGAAUUACAGCUCAUCAACUGGUCUUAGGAACCACAAAAGCAUGCUUGGUGCAAAUCCAAGUAAAAGCU
rnacentral:tRNA from 1 species